AAAAAAAAAAAAAAAGAAAAAAAGAAAAACAAGCACUCGAGGCGCUCUCCGAAUUGUGACAAAUAAACAUAAAUAAACAAAUUAAACGUGCGACACACUCUUGAGCAGAAAAGCAAAAGAAGAAGCAGAAGGCAGCUGCGCAGGCACGAAAAUGCGUUUCAUAUGACGGCUGCCACAAAUGUAACCGAAUAUGUUGAUGACUAUUGGCCAUAUAUGCAUGCAUGCAUAUGUGUGUGUGUGUGUGUGUGUGUGUGUGUGUGUUAGCUUAGUCAUAACUGUGAGCUGAGCUGCCUUCUGGCUUUGCAGAAAUAAUAUUGGGCAUAAAGCGCCAACAGACGUCGGGGCGUAUGCGCAAUGCGAUGCUUGAGUGAAUGGCGACUAAUGAAUGGACUCGACAUUCUAAACCAGGCAACAUAAAUGUGAAAGAGCGGGAGUUGGAUAAGGAAAGAGUGAGAUAGAGAGAGAGAGAGAGAGAGAGUUUCUCGGGGGAAACUUAUCAGUGUCAACGUUGUGCCAAUAAAAACUAUACCAGCAUGCAAAUAUGUCCACAAUCAAACAAAUAGCUGCUAACAGCAGCAGCAGCACAAUACAAGCAAGCCCGAGAUGUUGGCCAACAAAUUCUGAGGAUCCCCACAGGACGAGCWACAACAACAACAACAAGAGCAGCACAAAUGGAACAUGCAUAAGGCAUGCAGAAAUAAUGGUAAAGAGCAAAGCGACAACCAACAAAGAAAAAGGCGCAGCACAGAAAGUGAAGCGCUCCAAGCUGAAGAAGAAGAAGCAGGAGCAGCAGCAGCAGCAGCUGCCUUAUGUUUUCCUGUUUCGCCACAGGACAACGGCAUAAGAGGACACACAACAGGCAG